CAAGUUCUAGAUCCUUCAUGCCAGGAACAGUGAUCCCAGUGGCACUGCUUCACACCAUUAGGAAUCUCGUAACCGUAUGUACACUUCAGUUUUUCCAUGACACACUUCCAGCAGAGAAAUAACUUCAACUGCACCUGCUCAAAUGUUUUUUUAAUACAUGUUUGAGAACUCACUCUUAACCAAAUGAUGUGUGUAACUGCUGGACUGGAAAUUAUAAAUAUCCUACAGAAGUUGGAACUUCAUACGGUAAGACUAAUAAAUGUUUUGCUGACAACUUACUGUCGGAGCAUCGGGAAUGUCAAGCACCAGGUCACCUAAGCUGUUGAUGAGAUUAUCAAAGCCUUGUUCAAUGUCCUCCU